rnacentral:rRNA from 1 species
CCUACGGGAGGCAGCAGUGAGGAAUAUUGGUCAAUGGGCGUAAGCCUGAACCAGCCAAGUCGCGUGAGGGAUGAAGGUUCUAUGGAUCGUAAACCUCUUUUAUAGGGGAAUAAAGUGUGGGACGUGUCCUGUUUUGUAUGUACCUUAUGAAUACAGAUCGGCUAACUCCGUGCCAGCAGCCGCGGUAAUACGGAGGAUCCGAGCGUUAUCCGGAUUUAUUGGGGUUAAAGGGUGCGUAGGCGGCCUUUUAAGUCAGCGGUGAAAGGUUGUGGCUCAACCAUCGAAUUGCCGUUGAACCUGGGAGGCUGGAGUAUGUGUGAGGCAGGCGGAAGGCGUGGUGUAGCGGUGAAAUGCUUAGAUAUCACGCAGAACCCCGAUUGCGAAGGCAGCCUGCCAAGCCAUGACUGACGCUGAUGCACGAAAGCGUGGGGAGCAAACAGGAUUAGAUACCCCAGUAGUC